UGGGGAAUCAUGGUCAAUGGGCGAAAGCCUGAACCUGCGACGCCGCGUGAGUGAUGAAGGUCGUAAGAUCGUAAAACUCUUUUCAGGGAUUUUAAAGGCAGCGCUCUAACAUAGCGUCUGCUGUGACUAUCCCUGGAAUAAGCCCCAGCCAACUACGUGCCAGCAGCUGCGGUAAUACGUAGGGGGCGAGCGUUAUUCGGAAUUACUGGGUGUAAAGGGUAUGUAGGCGGUUCCUCAAGUCGUGUGUAAAAGUCCAGGGCUCAGCGCUGGGUUAGCGCACGAGACUGAUGAACUAGAGGGCUGGAGAGGUGAGCGGAAUUCCCGGUGUAGUGGUAAAAUACGUAGAUAUCGGGAGGAACACCAGCGGCGUAGGCGGCUCACUAGACAGUUUCUGACGCUAAGAUACGAAAGCGUGGGGAGCAAACA
rnacentral:rRNA from 1 species